rnacentral:ncRNA from 1 species
GGAGAGCCCCGAUCGGCUCCUGGACGAGUACGCCGUACCCAGCACACGACAAGACGGCGUAGG